rnacentral:misc_RNA from 1 species
UCCGAUUUGUCACCGGCAGUCUCCCAUGAGUCCCCGACAUUACUCGCUGGCAACAUGGGACAGGGGUUGCGCUCGUUGCGGGACUUAACCCAACAUCUCACGACACGAGCUGACGACAACCAUGCACCACCAGUGAGGCGCCCUUGCGGACCUGAUAUCUCUACCAGUUUUCGCCCCAUGUCAAGCCUUGGUAAGGUUCUUCGCGUUGCAUCGAAUUAAUCCGCAUGCUCCGCCGCUUGUGCGGGCCCCGUCAAUUCCUUUGAGUUUUAGCCUUGCGGCCGUACUCCCCAGGCGGGGCACUUAAUGCGUUAGCUUCGGCACGGAGGGAGUCGACACCCCCCACACCUAGUGCCCAUCGUUUACAGCGUGGACUAC